rnacentral:rRNA from 1 species
AGAGUUUGAUCCUGGCUCAGGAUGAACGCUGGCGGCGUGCCUAACACAUGCAAGUCGAACGAAGCGCCUGCGGCGGACCCCUCCGGGGGAAAGCCGCGGGGGACUGAGUGGCGGACGGGUGAGCAACGCGUGGGCAACCUGCCCCGUACCGGGGGACAACAGCCGGAAACGGCUGCUAAUACCGCAUAUUCCCGCGGGGCCGCAUGGCCCUGCGGGGAAAGCUCCGGCAGUACGGGAUGGGCCCGCGUCUGAUUAGCUUGUUGGCGGGGUAACGGCCCACCAAGGCUGCGAUCAGUAGCCGGCCUGAGAGGGCGGCCGGCCACAUUGGGACUGAGACACGGCCCAGACUCCUGCGGGAGGCAGCAGUGGGGGAUAUUGCACAAUGGGGGGAACCCUGAUGCAGCGACGCCGCGUGAACGAAGAAAUAUUUCGGUAUGUAAAGUUCUAUCAGCAAGGAAGAAAAUGACAGUACCUGACCAAGAAGCCCCGGCUAACUACGUGCCAGCAGCCGCGGUAAUACGUAGGGGGCGAGCGUUAUCCGGAUUCACUGGGCGUAAAGGGAGCGCAGGCGGCACGGCAAGUCCGGUGUGAAAGCCCGGGGCCCAACCCCGGGACUGCACUGGAAACUGCCGGGCUGGAGUGUCGGAGGGGCAGGCGGAAUUCCUAGUGUAGCGGUGAAAUGCGUAGAUAUUAGGAGGAACACCGGUGGCGAAGGCGGCCUGCUGGACGACGACUGACGCUGAGGCUCGAAAGCGUGGGGAGCAAACAAAAUUAGAUACCCUGGUAGUCCACGCCGUAAAC